UUCACUUUCACUUUCUUUCCAUCACCAGGGGUGCAGAAAUCCUCUCUAGGAGGAUAAGCUGCCUAAUUUGAGCAAUUGGCAACCUCAGGCUGAUUGAUAGGCUUUUCAGGGACUGUGGCCCAUAUUUAACUUUUUCUAUCUUAAAGCAGCCACCUCCCCUCUGCCCCCGGAGUUACCUCAACAGAUUCGCUGUGCAUGCGUGUUGCAAAAGCCUUUUCUACACAACAGUAAUAAAAUACUAGCCUCUGUCGACUACAGGAUGCCAGGCAUUGUAAAUAUAUUCUCUCUCAUCCUUAGGAUAAAGCUUGUAAGCAGGUAUUUCCCCCAUUUUCUGAGGGGAGGGCGGGGAGUGGGAUUCUUAAAGUGAAGAAACUGGCCUUAGGGAAUAGGUUUUGGAAGGGCAGAGAAGAUUGGGUAACUACCAAUACAAAGCAUCGUUCUUAAAUCUUGGGCCUUCCAUUAGUGCCAUCGGUCUGGUAUACAGAAGCACAGUGUGUGUGUACAGGUGUGGUCAGUCCCACUCUUCAGAGGCUUCUAUUCAAAUCUGUAUCUCAACCAUUCACUAGCUCUAUGACCUUGGACUCAUUCCCCUAUCACUUUGAAUUCCAGUUCUUUCAUAUGUAAAAAGUACUUACCUCUUAGAGUUGUGAGUAUCCAAUGAUUUAAUAGUUCUAAAAUUCUCAAAUAUAAUAGCUGUUGUCUCAUUUAAAUAUUCUAAGUGCUAUGAUCAAAAUGUCUCACCUUCGCAGACUGAGGCAUUUGACCCCCUAAUUUUAAGUUGUGUCAUAUUACCAGUUCAGAAGAUGUAUGCUAUAUUUGGUAUGUAUCUCCUUCCAGAGGAAAUGGCAUUUUAAAUCAGGGGUUGGUGAACAUUUGGGGGAAAGGGCUGGAUAGUAACUAGUUUAGGCUUUUCGGGCCAUAUGGUGUCUUGUCACAACUAUUCAUCUGUGCUGCUGUAAUGUGAGAGCAGCCGUGGACAGUGCUCGAGCAAAUGAGUGUGCCCGUGUUCCAGUAAGGCUUUAUUUACAGAGGCUGGAAUUCAAAUAAUGUUCAAGUCUAUUAAAAUUCUCUUUAUUUUCAGCAGUUUAAAAAUGCCAAAGUCACACUUAGCUUGAAGGCCAAAUACAGGCAGUGGGCCUUAGUUUUGCCAACCUCUUUUUAAAUAAUUCAAUAAUUCUUUAAAGUUAAUGAAUCCAGCAAAGUUCUCACUAGGGAAAAGCAAUGCAAAGGAAGAAAAUUAAGAGCUAAUGGAUCUAUCAACUAGCUAGCCCAGGACAUAACUAUAUUAAUCACUCCCUGCUCUAACACAGUCAUGCAACCACUUUGAGCUUAACCUUUUUAUCUGUAAAAAUGAAGUAAUAACUCUCUGACCCACACCUACUUCUUCCUGGGGAAGGGAGUUUCAUAAUAUUUAUCAUUCAUUCAUUUACUGAAUUUAUGCUUUUGUGCUGAUACUUGAAUCAUUUUAGUUCCAAUCUUAUUGUCCACAUUUACAGAUGGAUGAAUCUUAUCUUCAUUUACAGAUGAAGAAAUGGAGACUCGGAGGCAAAUAAUCUGCUCCAGAUUACAGUACCAGUGUCUAAACCCAGGUGUUUGACUCCUAUCAACCCUGAAAGGUGAAUGUAAGUGAGGAUUGGGUUUCAGGUCCAAAUUUGCCUCAUUCAUGAUAAAAUACUAGACCUGAAGGUAGCAGCAGCCUCUCGUCUUACACUAAGCCAGCAAGGUAUGGAAGCCUGAGGCAAGGCUCUGAGAUGAUGAGCACUUAACUUGGUGGAAUGUUGCAGAAAGAACAUGGGCUCUGAAAUUAGAAGACCUGGGUUUGAACCCCAACCUCUCAGCUUUGUUUUUUUUUUAAAUCUGGCCUUUGUCUCUAAGCUUAUUGUCUUCUUAUACUUCAUCACCUCAAAAUGUAGCUGAAGAUAAACCAUGAACUGGAAAGCACAAUAUCCAACUAGUAAAGAACCAUCAUCACAUCCUUUAUAAAUUCAGUACCAACCCUUUGACUCUGGAUACUGUAAGGAUCUACUAGAAUUAUAUUUUUCAGCAAUGACCUCUGGUCACUUAAGUUUAACAUAAUAAAUGCAAGGACUUUGCCAAAGCAAAUUGCUGAAAAGAACACAGUGCAACAGAAGCAGUUCACAAAGUUCUGUAAGUUUUGAUUGAUGAUUACAUCCUGCUGCUGUGUUAGCAAGGGCUGGCAACCAACCUGAAGACAGAGAAAAGAAGUGAUGAAAAUGUCAAGAUUCCUCAAGCAGAUAUGUCAUGGAAUGAGUGGGGGCAGACAAGGAUGUUGCAUUCAGUGAUAAAGGCCAAGAGAACUGCCCAUCUCCUCACCAAAUUAUUGCUGUCUUAUUCAAAGAAUCCCACUUUGCUGUGAAGACCUGAAAAUAAACACAUUCCAGCAGAGAACUGUCAGUCCUGACCUUUGUUCUGGGUGACCUAUGGACAAGAAUAGUAUAUUGUACUUUCAUGUCUUAAAGUUUUAGUACUUUCUUUCUUAUAAACAUUUGGGACUCUUGGAUAUGACAGUUGCAAGUGAGCAUUUUUGGAGACUAGAACUUUAUUUGCAUUCAAGGCUGUUCUGGAAAUACUCCAUAGUAAUCACACUAUAUAGGAUGUCCUGUUUUGUCACGGUACUAGUGAGCUGUGACCUUGCAGAGAUUUUCCAGAGGGUCAGAUCUGAGAGUAUGUUGAAUUCCACUGCAUUUUUACCGUGUCUUAAGAGCAUCCACACGGGCACUCAUGAGUUGAAAUUUUAACUCUCUUUCCUCCAAGUGUGAGGAAAGCACACAGGAAUAGAAAAUGCAUGCUCUCUAUAUUUUCCAGAGGAAAUUUUGCUGUUGAAAGUCUCCUACAUGGUUCCCAAAACACUUUCUUUCAUUGUGUCAACCAAGAAGCUCUACACUCUCUUAUCAACCUCUAAUGAGAGACAGAGAUAUUCUGACCCAAGUUAUCAGGCUUUGACCUCUGGCACAUUUGCUCUGUUCUUAUUCUUUGCAACACUUUGGACUGUAGCCUGUCAGGCUCCUUUGUCCAUGGGAUUUUUCAGGCAAGUAUAUUGGAGUG